CAUGUCUAAGACCCCCGGAUUAAAGUGAACCCGCAAAAGGCUCAAUAUACCAUAAUGUUCCAAUUAGAUCGGUUACAGUUACUUGGAAUAACUGUGGUAAUUUCUAGAGCUAAUACAUGGUGCCUUGUUAAUUAGGCCUAAACCAAGCGGUUUCUUCGGAAAAUCGUAAUAAUGGUUGAACUCUAGAUAACUUGUCGAUCGUAUGGUCUCGUACCGACGACAGAUCUUUCAAAUGUCUGCCCUAUCAACUUUUGAUGGUAGUAUCUAGGACUACCAUGGUUGCUACGGGUAACGGGGAAUCAGGGUUCGAUUCCGGAGAGGGAGCCUGAGAAACGGCUACCACAUCUAAGGAAGGCA
rnacentral:rRNA from 1 species